UGGGGAAUAUUGCACAAUGGGCGCAAGCCUGAUGCAGCCAUGCCGCGUGUAUGAAGAAGGCCUUCGGGUUGUAAAGUACUUUCAGCGGGGAGGAAGGUGUUGAGGCUAAUAACCUCAGCAAUUGACGUUACCCGCAGAAGAAGCACCGGCUAACUCCGUGCCAGCAGCCGCGGUAAUACGGAGGGUGCAAGCGUUAAUCGGAAUUACUGGGCGUAAAGCGCACGCAGGCGGUGUGUCAAGUCGGAUGUGAAAUCCCCGGGCUCAACCUGGGAACUGCAUUCGAAACUGGCAGGCUAGAGUCUUGUAGAGGGGGGUAGAAUUCCAGGUGUAGCGGUGAAAUGCGUAGAGAUCUGGAGGAAUACCGGUGGCGAAGGCGGCCCCCUGGACAAAGUCUGACGCUCAGGUGCGAAAGCGUGGGGAGCAAACA
rnacentral:rRNA from 1 species